UCGACGAGACCAGCAUGGCGUCGCACUAAAAUAACAUCGAUGUUAUGGAGCUAAUGGUGCCAUACCGGUGGAGUGAUCUACACUAGAAUCACACUGAUACCGUGUAUUCAGACAGUUAAUACACCGAGUAAACCAACGAAAACACUUCUGAGACUCAUUCUUGUGCGUGAUUGUAUUCUCAAACACUUCAGUGCGGUGAGCAUUCCGAGAAACCAUUCCCAGUCAAUCGAGCCCCACGAUGAUCUCUCACAACGCACUUGCUCAAUUAUGUUGAAUUAAUUGUUCCGUUGAUGUGGAAAUAACACUAAGAAGCUAGUUUAUAUGGACUUAAUUGCUUUGUGAUUGAAGAAUAACGUACUGAUUUUCCACAGGGGGAAACGUGACAAAGGGAAGGCCUUCAGGUAUUGUUUUGGCAAGCUAGGAGAACACAUCUGACAGACAAAAAGGUUUCAUCAAAGACACACAGACAGCUCCUGAAGUAAAGGACCUACACAGGACCUUCAUAUCAAGGACAUUGACUGUGUGGAUCUCGAGGUGCAGUUACCCAAAAGUUGCUACCCACGGAAUACCAGGUUUUGAGGGAUCCUGCCAGAGCAGAGAAUCAACAGAUACAUUGAAGAGGAGACUCCGACAUGACCGCCGGCAUCUUGUGUUAUUCACCCCCACCACUUGUAAUACUGAAUGCCUGAAUUGUUGUUUGCUGCUCAGACUUUGUCAACAGAUAUGGUCUUCGACAUG